rnacentral:rRNA from 1 species
GCCUACGACCAUCUCACCCUGAAUGCGCCCGAUCUCGUCUGAUCUCGGAAGCUAAGCAGAGUCGAGCCUGGUUAGAACUUGGAUGGGAGACUGCCUAGGAAUACCAGGUGUUGUAGGCU